AGCCUGAGUCCACCUAGAAGAGCUGAUAUAUCCCUGCCCUAUGCAACCCUUGGACCGAAUCAAAUCUCUGAAUUCUCAGAAUGAGAGCACAGGAGCUUAUUGUAGGAUGGAUGGAGCAUUCGAAAGCCCUUGGGCAGCAAACACUCUUCAGUAGGGUGCGUUUGGACCAGCAGUUCAUCUUCUGAAAAAGCUAAGCCGCUCUUCGUUUUGUUCCUUUCCUUUGAUUAUAAAAAUAGUUUAAAUAUAAAAAAAUUAGUAAUAGCCAUCUGCACGUCUUUCUUUGAGUUGUCUGUGAAAUUUUAUGCCCUGCCCAUGCUUUUUUUCUAUUGAUCCAUUUGUUAUUUUCUUAUUGAUUUGCAAAAUGCUCUUGACAUAUUAAGCAACACUGGCCCCAGCCACAUGGGUUGCAGAUGUUUUUGCUCAGAUCGGUUGUUGUCUUUUGCAUUUAUUUACAGUACUCUUUGACGUUCAGAAAUUUUCAUUUUGUAAAUAAAAAAAAAGCCUCAAAUAAAUUGAGUCAUUACUA
rnacentral:lncRNA from 1 species